rnacentral:rRNA from 1 species
CAAUAGCGUAUAGUAAAGUUGUUGCAGUUAAAAAGCUCGUAGUUGGAUUUCUGGUGGGAGCGAUCGGUCUGGCGCUUAGCGCGAGUACUUGCAUCGUCUCCGGCCAUCCUUGGGGAGAGUCUGUCUGGCAUUAGGUUGUCGGGCAGAGGAUCCUCAUCGUUUACUGUGAAAAAAUUAGAGUGUUCAAAGCAGGCUUAUGCCGUUGAAUAUAUUAGCAUGGAAUAAUAAGAUAGGACUUUGGUACUAUUUUGUUGGUUUGCGCACCAAAGUAAUGAUUAAUAGGGACAGUUGGGGGUAUUCGUAUUCCGUUGUCAGAGGUGAAAUUCUUGGAUUUACGGAAGACGAACUACUGCGAAAGCAUUUACCAAGGAUGUUUUCAUUAA